rnacentral:SRP_RNA from 2 species
GCUGGGCGUGGUGGCGCAUGCUUGUAAUCCCAGCUACAUGGGAGGCUGAGACAUGAGAAUCGCUUGAAUCCGGGAGGCAGAGGUUGCAGUGAGCCACAAUCGCGCCACUGCACUCCAGCCUGGGUGACAGAGCGAGACUCUGUCUCAA